rnacentral:rRNA from 1 species
UUACCGGCUUGAAAGGAANGAAAAGCCGAAGACCUAGGUGCUGCAUGGCUGUCGUCAGCUCGUGCCGUGAGGUGUUGGGUUAAGUCCCGCAACGAGCGCAACCCUAUCUUAGUUGCCAACAUAUGGGACUCUAAGAGACUGCCUGCGCAACAGGAGGAAGGUGGGGAUGACGUCAAGUCAUCACGGCCCUUACGCCGGGCUACACACGUGCUACAAUGGGAGACAUGGGGCACAGCAAUGGAUGCAAUCUCCAAAUCUUCUCAGUUCGGAUUGAGGUCUGCAACUCGACCUCAUGAAGCUGGAUUCGCUAGUAAUCGCGAUCAGCAUGCGCGGUGAAUACGUUCCCGGGCNUUGUACACACCGCCCGUCAAGCCNGGGNAGUCGGGGACNNAA